UUGUAGGUAAAAAGUAAAGCAUAUGAAAAAGUUGAAAGAAGAGUAAAAAGCAUGUUUUUUGUUUUUGUUUGUUUGUUUGUUUUUAACUGUAAUAAAGACGUAUGGUUAGAAAGUUUGUUUUGCUAAUAAGUUAAUAAGUUUUUAAUAAGAAGUACGUCUUAUAUAUUUUGGUAUCCAUAAUGAGUUUUUUUUUAGGGGAAAUGCCAGCUGUUGAAGAACUGGAAUCUGGGGUGAAGUCAGAUUGUUGGUGUAAUACUGUCUGUAAUUUCUUGGCAGAUCUCUACUUUGUUGCAGUCAGUAAAGGGGGCUACUGAUCCUCCAAAGAAGGCACCUGCUCUCCUAACCUGGGCUUCGACAGUGGAAAGAAAAUUUAAUGUAAAUUGUGGGAAGACAGCAAGCAGAAGGGCACAGCCUAUUCAUAUAACUCCUAGCACCAGGGAAGCUGAAAGCUGAGGACAACAGUUCCUGGCAGUGAGGAUCGGGAAAGCUAGAAGGGGGAAAAGGACAGGAGUCAGAAACUAGCAACUUG
rnacentral:lncRNA from 1 species